CACGCCGCGUGAGUGAAGAAGGUUUUCGGAUCGUAAAACUCUGUUGUCAGAGAAGAACAAGUCGGAGAGUAACUGCUCCGGCCUUGACGGUAUCUGACCAGAAAGCCACGGCUAACUACGUGCCAGCAGCCGCGGUAAUACGUAGGUGGCAAGCGUUGUCCGGAUUUAUUGGGCGUAAAGCGAGCGCAGGCGGUUCCUUAAGUCUGAUGUGAAAGCCCACGGCUCAACCGUGGAAGGUCAUUGGAAACUGGGGAACUUGAGUGCAGAAGAGGAGAGUGGAAUUCCAUGUGUAGCGGUGAAAUGCGUAGAUAUAUGGAGGAACACCAGUGGCGAAGGCGACUCUCUGGUCUGUAACUGACGCUGAGGCUCGAAAGCGUGGGGAGCAAACAGGAUUAGAUACCCUGGUAGUCCACGCCGUAAACGAUGAGUGCUAAGUGUUGGAGGGUUUCCACCCUUCAGUGCUGCAGC
rnacentral:rRNA from 1 species